rnacentral:rRNA from 1 species
UACGUAGGGAGCAAGCGUUGUUCGGAUUUACUGGGCGUAAAGGGCGCGUAGGCGGCUUUGUAAGUCACUUGUGAAAUCUCUGAGCUUAACUCGGAACGGUCAAGUGAUACUGCAAUGCUAGAGUGCGGAAGGGGCAAUCGGAAUUCUUGGUGUAGCGGUGAAAUGCGUAGAUAUCAAGAGGAACACCUGAGGUGAAGACGGGUUGCUGGGCCGACACUGACGCUGACAGCGCGAAAGCCAGGGGAGCAAACGGG